rnacentral:lncRNA from 1 species
CAGAAUAAGCAAAAGGAUAUUCAAGCCAUUUAGGUAGCUUAAAGCUCUUGUGAGUCAAAUUUCUAUGGUACGAGAACGUAAUGCUGAGGUUAGUCACUGCAGCGAGAAUAAAACCGAACAGGAGAGCUUCCCAUUUGUAGUUAAAAGGAGCCAUGACACACAACAAAUGAACGGCCACAACACUUAAAGCUCUCAUUAAAUCGACGCUUGUCCAUUUUCUAAAAAAAUAUGCUCUUUUUUCCUUACGCAUUGCUUUUCGGCUAGAGCCAGAGCCAUUCUCCUUGGUGCCACCCAUCAAGGAUGGUUUGUGUUUUGAGAUUUGGUGAGUUAUAUGGUUGAGCAAAGAUUGUGAUUAUAUAUAUAGCUGAAUGUUGUGGAUAUUCAGAAUCGUAAAGCUGGAUUUGAGUAAUCAUAUCAUAGUUUAACAACGAAAUAAUAAACGUGUACACUUCCCCUCGUGUUUGCCUAGUCUCCAAACGAGGAUUUAAUUUUAAAAAUAAUCAAGCGAUUGGUUGGCUAAUUUUAUUAUUUUCUAAUAGGAGCAUUCGUUAAUGUUUUGCGUAGCGAUCCCGGUUGAUUGGUUAGUCCGAGAACUAAGAGUUAAGCAUAAUAGGCACACGUACAAACCUGGACAUUUGUUUGGUAUUUUAAUAAAAAGUUUUUUCGAAUGCUUUUACGUCAUAACAAUACAGGCAUUUUGAUGCCUCUUAACGUUUAAGGUUUAAGAUUGGAAAAUAUUUUGUACGCGUGAUACGCCAAGUAAUAAUAUCCUUUUGGGUACUAAAAAACAGAAAAUGUGUAAAAACCAAAUAAAAAUAUUUGUUAUAAACAAUACAAAGUUUUUUAUUUGUAAAAGGCUUAACAAUACGAAGUUUUUUUUUUUGCCUAAAUUAACAAUACGAGGUUAGUCUAACAAAGAUGCUCUAUAAAGAAUUUCAUCUGUAUUUGUUUUUUUUGGAAACACAAAGAAUUUCAUCUGUAUAUAUGUGAUAUUAUCUAAACCAAAAGUAUUAACAUACACAUUCUAAAGUUCAUAUACUCGGGCCGCUUCUGUUCAAUCCGCUUCUUAUUUUUCCGGUUACUCAAGUUAAAUUUUCUUGCAAUGCUCUCUAUAAAAACCAGAGAGCCAAAGCAAAAUGUUAUUAAUAUAUGGGCAUCACUAUAAAUUAAUAAGUUUUUAAAUGUAAGCAAUCAUACCAAUACUUAUAUCAGUUUUUUCUACUAAUGUGCAUGAACGAAAUGUAAAUGACAUAAAUAAUAGAAAACGUGGUUAACUACAUUACGCAUAUUAGAAGUUCACGAAAACGAACGUAAUUAAGUAAAUUGGUUCCAACACACAACAAACACCGGAUAACACAAUAUUACAAGUGUCACCCUUACCAAAACCUUGAAACGUACGCAGACAUUUAAAUCAUACUUAAUAAAGACGAUAAGUCGAAUAUCCUCAUUCAACGAACCAAUGCCAUACGACGCCGUUGACUCUCUGAAGGCAGCUUCACGUCAGUAGCCAAACCGAUGAUUUCGAGAAAGCGUACGAUGUACCAAGAGAUGUCGAUUUGCCACCACUCUAGGCCUUGUCUCGCCGACGACUCAAAGGCAUGGUGAUUGUUGUGCCAGCUCUCCCCAAACGAGAAUACCGAUAGCCACCUAGAACCAACAUAUUCAACCACUUUGUUAGUUUCUUCGAAGUUAUAACAUAUCAUUAUUGCUAAUUAAUUGAUGUAGCUUUAAUAUCAUAUACUCCAUCUGUUUUUAAUAUAAAUCGUUUUAUAAUUAUGCACAUAUAUUAAGAAAAUCAUUAAUUAUUUAUCUAACCACAAAUCAACCAAUAAUAAAAUAGAAGGUAUAUUAUCAUUGGUCAUAUAACAUUAGGUGUUAAUAAAUUUUACAUAGAAAAUCGAAAACGUCAUAUAAUUUGGAACAUAAAAAUUUCUCUAAAACAACUUAUAUUAAAAAAAACGGAAGGAGUAGUAAAUUAAUAUAUAUGAUUCUGAAACAAGAAAACAUAUAUGAUGCAUAUUUGUCCAUUUUUAAAACAUGGUAAGCUAAUUGGUUGAAUGAUAUAUAUAUAUAUAUAUUUUAAAAAUUAAAUGAUUAACUAUUAUUAUAAUGUAAUAUAUUUCUAAAUUAUAAAUUGCAAAAAAACAAUUAGCAUUUUUUUGUGUCUCUAAUUUAAUUAUAUGUAAAUUUAAAAAUGUAUCAAACCGUAAGAACAUUAUCAUUGGGUUUACAAGUUAUUUUGAACAUGCUCUAGUAGUACCACCGGUAUACUCGUAUGCAUGUUCCAUCCGGAUGUCUCUCAUGCCCAACUUUAACAGGAGACACCGUAGCUCUUGGCAAAUGUAUUCGAGACAUUGGGUUGUCCGAGCUGAUGACGCGGUAAUAGGUGAUGUUGAUGGAGAAGUUGUGCUACUUAAGGUAUAGUUUUGCUUCUUCCACUCCUGUGCUAAUAUAAGUUCCAUGUAGUACAAUGGAUAUGAGCAAUUCUUUCUAAUGUGGUUUGUUGUAUUUUUUAGAAUCCGCUCUUACAAGCCAAGGAAGAAGAGUUUGUGUAUAGGUGUAUUUCCCAAUUUCCAACAAGUAAUUUAUCCGUUGAGGGAUCUUUCACCUUUGUGCCUGGAAGGUAUAUGCUUCAUGGACGAUGAUGUUUGAUUUAUAAGAUUGCAGACCGCUUAUGCUGUUUAUCUUGUUUUUAAGAUUAAACCUUGUAAUUGGAGUAUAAUUUUUACCAUUGCGUCUUUCAUUUUAUGUAGUUUGCAAGAUCCGAAAGGACCUCAAUUCGAAGUCAACGUCGCAGAGUUUCCUGUGAAGUUACCAGACUACAUCUUCUAAACUCAUCUCCCUCAAGGAGGUUUGUUACUCUUUCAAGAUAAUGCGUUAUAUCAGCUUUUAUAGUUCAUACAUUGUGCAAUGCACUUUAUUAAGUUAACUUAAGUGCUCUGAAUCGACCAGUUUUAUAGUUCAUACAUUGUGCAAUGCACUUUAUUAAGUUAACUUAAGUGCUCUGAAUCGACCAGUUUUACAAAUUUAUUAGACCAUAUAUUAUUCGCAAAUGUUUUACAUAAUAACAAGUGACCGUGUGAUGAGCGAAAACAAGGUUGAAAAUGAAAUAGCUAGAAUUAGAGCUGAGAUUAAAAAGCCAUCUUGCGUUUCUGCGCUUCUGAAGGCAAUUUAACAUCGGUGGCUAAGCCGAGAGCCUGAAAGAACCGAAUAAGGUACCAAGUUAUGUCUAACUGAUACCAUUCCAGUCCGUGCCUAGCCGAGGCCUCAAAGGCAUGGUGGUUGUUGUGCCAGCUUUCUCCCAUCGUCACUGGUGCUAGCCACCUAUACACCAUUUCGACAAAUACUCAAAAUUAGUUUCUAGUUAUGGUAUGCACAAGGAUGUCAGAGCCGUGCCUCGGUGAGAGCAAAUGAAACAUUUGCUUAGGGCAGCAGAUUUUUAUAAAAAAUUAAAGGCAUCAGCUUAGACUAAUCUACCAAGGGUAUAAAAUUAUUAAAAGUAACAUUAGUUUAUAGGAAUAAAGCAUUGUGGUAACUAUAAUAAGGAAAUUUAGGAAGUAUGAUAAAAACUUGAGUUUCUUAAAUAACAAAAUGAAAAAAAAUUGCUAAUUAUUAGAAAAUAGAAUAGUUAGAUCGGUUUUGAAAUGUUUUUCAUGCUAAAACAAAUAAAACUGUAUCGUUUGUUUGAGUAUUACUUUUAUUUUUCGUAAUUAAUAUUUUGUUUGUUAGUUUAAUUUAUAUCUUUUUACUCUGUAGUAAUAGGUAUUAUUAAUUUCUAUUCAGAAGUUAUAAAGGUUUAUAGAUAUUAUUUAUGAAAAUUUCUAUGAAAAUUUUUGUAUUGCUUAUGGCAGCUAUAAAUGUUCGCGGUUCCAGGACCCACAAGAACAAGGCGGGCGUAUUUGUAGAUGGCAAGUCCGAGCAAAUCUACAACGAUUUGGCUGCUCGGGUUGAAGAACGCCAGACCCAGCUGACCCAACAGUCCACCGAUGGAUUACCCGUCACCUUAUCCACACCUGAAGUGGAUAAGCUUUACGAGGAGGUAAAUUUUCUAAAAUUUUAAUUUUUUUAAAUAUUCAUUUAAUUUAACUUUAAAUUUUUACUAACAAAAUUUAUUUUUUGUUUUUAAGGUUGUCCCUAAAAAAAAGGGACGGACGUUGGGGAUUGGUUCCGUCAACGAUGUUCCGAGAGCGACAUCGUCUUAUGUUCAGCGACGGGAUGAUGAAGUCUCUCAGCUGCGUAGGGAGUCCGAAGAGCUGCGUAGAGAGUCUACUGAGCUGCGUAGAGAUUCUACUCAGCUGCGAUCUCGUAUGGGUGGACUCGAGGGCUUCUUGGACGUUGUAGCGGCCACAAAUCCGGAAUGGGCGACUUUGUUGAGGACCAUGCGACAACAAAAUCCUAUCCCAGGCCAGUCACCGACCGACGACUCACAUGCCGAGGCGGAUGUUCAGGCGAGGAGUGAUGAAUUCUACGAGGCGAUUAAUUAACGACCACCCAAGUUCUUUUUAAUUUCGGUUCUUGUAUUAUGAAUUCAAAACUUAUUUAUAUAUAAAAUAUUUUGGUUUUGAUUUUUUUAGAAUUUUAAUUUUAUUAAUAAUUUAAAUAAUUUAAAUUAUAUUUAUAAUUAUAAUUUUUUAUAUUUCUAUAAAAUAAUGAAACGAAGUAAAUUCGUAGCUAAUUUUGCGGCUUCUUUACGUGGAAGCUUAACGUGGUUUUUACGAGGAAACAUUUACAAGGAAAUAACGUGGAAAUCUAUCAAGGUUUUUACGUUUUCUUUACGUGGAAAGCUGUCAAGGUAUUUACGUUAAUUUUACGAGUAUUUAUUUACGUGGGUUUUACGAGGAAAGUUUUUUGUGGUAAUUACGAGGAAACUUAGCGACGUCCUUACGAGGAAUCUUUACGUGGUCUUUACGAGGAAAAUUAGCGACGUCCUUACGAGGAAUCUUUACGUGGUCUUUACGACGAAAUAUCCUCCUUCGCUUUUACGACGAAAUUAUUUCCUCGCUAACUUACGACGAAUUAGCGAGGAUAUAUGCGUUACGACAAACGUAUAACGACGAAACGGGUUUCCUCGCUAAUUCGUCGUAACACUGCUUUUACGACGAAUUAGCGAGGAAAACUGCCCUCGUAAAACUUGUGUUUUCUUGUAGUGUGAUAAGGGGCCUCCAGGGCUUAUUGGUGGCUAUUCUGCUUAUUGGCAUAAAGUUAAUGUCUACUUGCUACCUCUUAAGGAAGUGGUAAGGCAGACAAUCGAUAUCAUGGCCGGCGAUCAUAAUACUAUCUCCAAGAACAUUGUCGUUGUGGCUGUAUCAGCAGCGCCCAGUUCGAAGAAGAUGUUUUUCCUUGAUUGCACAAACGGACAGCUUUAUACUGAAAACACAAGUUCUCACCAAAUGCUUCCUUGUGUUCCCGAGUCUUUGGUUUGCAUCAACGGCGAUCAACAAGAGGACGCCAUGCUGCUUUGGUUAGAAGAACAUGGCAGGAGGUUACAAACUGGUGCUACCAAAGUCCGUGAACAGGAUAACAUUAAAAGUAUCAGUUUGUUUCCCGAGAUUCCUCCCUUGUGUUCUAUCUCUGUAACUAAUGGUGUGCAGGUAAACAAUAUUUAUUUAGUUACUGUUAUAUUCUUUUUUUUUAUAAGUGCAUUCAUAAAUCACAUUCAUAAAUCAGGAAAAUUGUUAUAUUCAUGGUUGUAGAUUGUUAUUAAAUAAAUAAAUAAAUGCAGGUGCGUGCGUCUUCUGUGUUUAUGCCUGAAGUAUCUAAUCAUCUGGAUAACCCACCGGUAUACUCGUAUGCAUGUUCCAUCCGGAUGUCUCUCAUGCCCAACUUUAACAGGAGACACCGUAGCUCUUGGCAAAUGUAUUCGAGACAUUGGGUUGUCCGAGCUGAUGACGCGGUAAUAGGUGAUGUUGAUGGAGAAGUUGUGCUACUUAAGGUAUAGUUUUGCUUCUUCCACUCCUGUGCUAAUAUAAGUUCCAUGUAGUACAAUGGAUAUGAGCAAUUCUUUCUAAUGUGGUUUGUUGUAUUUUUUAGAAUCCGCUCUUACAAGCCAAGGAAGAAGAGUUUGUGUAUAGGUGUAUUUCCCAAUUUCCAACAAGUAAUUUAUCCGUUGAGGGAUCUUUCACCUUUGUGCCUGGAAGGUAUAUGCUUCAUGGACGAUGAUGUUUGAUUUAUAAGAUUGCAGACCGCUUAUGCUGUUUAUCUUGUUUUUAAGAUUAAACCUUGUAAUUGGAGUAUAAUUUUUACCAUUGCGUCUUUCAUUUUAUGUAGUUUGCAAGAUCCGAAAGGACCUCAAUUCGAAGUCAACGUCGCAGAGUUUCCUGUGAAGUUACCAGACUACAUCUUCUAAACUCAUCUCCCUCAAGGAGGUUUGUUACUCUUUCAAGAUAAUGCGUUAUAUCAGCUUUUAUAGUUCAUACAUUGUGCAAUGCACUUUAUUAAGUUAACUUAAGUGCUCUGAAUCGACCAGUUUUAUAGUUCAUACAUUGUGCAAUGCACUUUAUUAAGUUAACUUAAGUGCUCUGAAUCGACCAGUUUUACAAAUUUAUUAGACCAUAUAUUAUUCGCAAAUGUUUUACAUAAUAACAAGUGACCGUGUGAUGAGCGAAAACAAGGUUGAAAAUGAAAUAGCUAGAAUUAGAGCUGAGAUUAAAAAGCCAUCUUGCGUUUCUGCGCUUCUGAAGGCAAUUUAACAUCGGUGGCUAAACUGAGAGCCUGAAAGAACCGAAUAAGGUACCAAGUUAUGUCUAACUGAUACCAUUCCAGUCCGUGCCUAGCCGAGGCCUCAAAGGCAUGGUGGUUGUUGUGCCAGCUUUCUCCCAUCGUCACUGGUGCUAGCCACCUAUAGACCAUUUCCACAAAUACUCAAAAUUAGUUCCUAAUUAUGGUAUGCACAAGGAUGUUCAUAUCUCUUUGAUAAAAUACCAAAUGUUACGUGAUGUGUCCUUGGUGUUCCAAGCUCUCGAGCCCAAAAUAUGACAUGCUGAGUUUAUGAGCCACGUCCCGUGGUAACCGAUUGCUCCUCCAACACCCUGUUACAACAAAAUGAUAUUUUGUUAUUUUUUUAUGAAAUCAGUUUUGAAAACCUAAAACAUUUAUGAAAAAAUGUAAAGAUGUCCUUUUUUUUACCACGCCGCAAGUUAGGUAAGGUAGACCACCCCAUAUAUAGACGAGGGUCCAAAACGCCAUGACGUGGAGACCAACUGUUUUUUGUAGAAACCUGUAGAACCAUUGCUGUUUCAAGUCCAUCACGUUGUUACGUGCUCCACACUGUUGCAUAAAAUUUGCAUUGUUACAACAUGUACGACGUAGUUUUAGUUAAUCAUAAAUCAAGAUUGAUUCUGGUUUUGUAAGAUAUUUGAAAACGCUGGAGUUACCUUUUCUCUGAGGUAACUGGUGUCGAAUAUCCACAGGACAUGACUGAACCAAAAUCCUUCGAUAGGGCUAUGUGGGUCACGGUCAGAAUCUGUGAACUGGUGAUGGAACCUAUGUGUGCUCACCCAAUCUAUUGGAUGACCCUGCCCAAAAAAAUAACAUUUCAAAUAAAACUGAGGAUGCAUAUUGGGUGUGUUUUGUUUCAUUUUAAUUUUUGGUUUAAGCGAUAUAUACCUGAAGGGCAAAAAGUGCAGAAUAAGCAAAAGGAUAUUCAAGCCAUUUAGGUAGCUUAAAGCUCUUGUGAGUCAAAUUUCUAUGGUACGAGAACGUAAUGCUGAGGUUAGUCACUGCAGCGAGAAUAAAACCGAACAGGAGAGCUUCCCAUUUGUAGUUAAAAGGAGCCAUGACACACAACAAAUGAACGGCCACAACACUUAAAGCUCUCAUUAAAUCGACGCUUGU